rnacentral:rRNA from 1 species
CUGACCGUAAACUAUGCCAACUAGCGAUCCGCCGGUGGAUUUUUAGCCCUGGUGGGAAGCUUCCCGGAAACGAAAGUCUUCCGGUUCCGGGGGAAGUAUGGUUGCAAAGCUGAAACUUAAAGGAAUUGACGGAAGGGCACCACCAGGAGUGGAGCCUGCGGCUUAAUUUGACUCAACACGGGGAAACUCACCCGGCCCGGACACCGUAAGGAUUGACAGAUUGAUAGCUCUUUCAUGAUUCGGUGGUUGGUGGUGCAUGGCCGUUCUUAGUUCGUGGAUCGAUUUGUCUGGUUUAUUCCGAUAACGAGCGAGACUCUAGCCUACUAAAUAGUAACGGAAUUACUAUUGUUCCAGUUGCUUCUUAGAGGGAUUUUCGGUGUUUAGCCGCACGAGAUUGAGCAAUAACAGGUCUGUGAUGCCCUUAGAUGUCCGGGGCUGCACGCGCGCUACACUGGCGAAAUCAGCGUGCUGUAUCCAUUCUCGAAAGGGAUUGGUAAACCCAUGAAAAUUUGCCGUGCUUGGGAUCGGAAAUUGCAAUUAUUUUCCGUGAACGAGGAAUUCCAAGUAAGUGCGAGUCAUCAACUCGCUCUG